GCCUGGCUGCAACAGCUCAGUUGCUUAGAGUCUGGUCCUGACAACACCAAGGUUGCAGGUUCAAUCCCUGGUUGGGACA